CCGCGUUCCGGUUGGUCGGACCCGACGGCCGCGCGCUCGAGACGCGCGUCCCGCUCAUCGGGCGGUUCAUGGCGUCCAACGCCGC
rnacentral:tRNA from 1 species